rnacentral:rRNA from 1 species
UACGGGGGGGGCAAGCGUUGUUCGGAAUUACUGGGCGUAAAGGGCUCGUAGGUGGCCAACUAAGUCAGACGUGAAAUCCCUCGGCUUAACCGGGGAACUGCGUCUGAUACUGGAUGGCUUGAGAUUGGGAGAGGGACGCGGAAUUCCAGGUGUAGCGGUGAAAUGCGUAGAUAUCUGGAGGAGCACCGGUGGCGAAGGCGGCAUCCUGGACCAAUAUUGACGCUGAGGAGCGAAAGCCAGGGGAGCAAACGGG